AGAGGGCGUGAAACUGCAUAGAAGGAAACGUGAGGUGCUGUUUUGGCUGUCAGUGUUCAGCUGCAGGGAUUAACGUCUCUGUAGUGCAUUCGUUGUCAGUGGCAUUGGAACUGAUGGAAUUGGAGUUUGAGAGUUGAUUUUGGUCGCUGUCUAGUGUAGUGGUCGAAUUAUUUUUGAACUUCCUAUUUUAUUCGGUUAUUGGCAUUUAUUGAGCUUUUUGGGACUGACUUUUUCUGUCUUGGAUUGGUGUGCAUCAUCUUUUCAUGAUCGGGAUCGUUUGUUUCUUUAUAAGCCAUGGUGUUUCCAGUGUAAAACACAGUUUACCUCUCGACCCGUCUUGAAACACGGACCAAGGAGUCUAACAUGUGCGCGAGUCAAUGGGUUAUAAACUCAGUGGCACAAUGAAAGUGAAUGUCGGUUAUGUCGACUGAUAUACGAUCUGAAGAAAUUCAAUGCAGUGUAGUCCCAUUCCUACUGUUUUCAGUGGGGUGGAGAAAGAGCGUAUUUGUUGGGACCCGAAAGAUGGUGAACUAUGCCUGAACAGGAUGAGGCCAGAGGAAACUCUGGUGGAAGUCCGAAGCGGUUCUGACGUGCAAAUCGA
rnacentral:rRNA from 1 species